AUGAACGCUGGCGGCGUGCCUAACACAUGCAAGUCGAACGAAGCACCUUACCUGAUUCUUCGGAUGAAAGUUUGGUGACUGAGUGGCGGACGGGUGAGUAACGCGUGGGUAACCUGCCCUGUACAGGGGGAUAACAGCUGGAAACGGCUGCUAAUACCGCAUAAGCGCACGAGGAGACAUCUCCUUGUGUGAAAAACUCCGGUGGUACAGGAUGGGCCCGCGUCUGAUUAGCUGGUUGGCAGGGUAACGGCCUACCAAGGCAACGAUCAGUAGCCGGUCUGAGAGGAUGAACGGCCACAUUGGAACUGAGACACGGUCCAAACUCCUACGGGAGGCAGCAGCGGGGAAUAUUGCACAAUGGGGGAAACCCUGAUGCAGCAACGCCGCGUGAGUGAAGAAGUAUUUCGGUAUGUAAAGCUCUAUCAGCAGGGAAGAUAAUGACGGUACCUGACUAAGAAGCUCCGGCUAAAUACGUG
rnacentral:rRNA from 1 species